GCGAGAAAACUUUGCAAUGUGCGAAAGCACGACAAGGUUAAUCCGAGUGGUUUCUGCUAAAGGAACCUUUUGUCGGUCCUAGAAACACCGAUGAAUAAGGGGUGGGCAAGUUCUGGUGUCAGCCGCCGCGGUAAAACCAGCACCUCAAGUGGUCAGGAUGAUUAUUGGGCCUAAAGCAUCCGUAGCCGGCUCUGUAAGUUUCCGGUUAAAUCCAUUAGCUCAACUGAUGGGCCGCCGGAAAAACUGCAAAGCUAGGGAGUGGGAGAGGUAGACGGUACUCGGUAGGAAGGGGUAAAAUCCCUUGAUCUAUUGAUGACCACCUGUGGCGAAGGCGGUCUACCAGAACACGUCCGACGGUGAGGGAUGAAAGCUGGGGGAGCAACCCGGGAUUAGAUACCCGGGUAGUCCCAGCUGUAAACCAUGCAACUCAGUGAUGCAUUGGCUUGUGGCCAAUGCAGUGCUGCAGGGAAGCCGUUAAGUUU
rnacentral:rRNA from 2 species